CAAUAGCGUAUAUUAAAGUUGUUGCAGUUAAAAAGCUCGUAGUUGGAUUUCUGGCUCGGUGAGGCGGUCCCUCUCGCGAGGCGCACUGCAGCGCCGGGCCAUCCUCUCGAAGGCGGGUGGUGUCAUUAAUUUGAUGUCGCACGAACUCGAGACCUUUACUUUGAAAAAAUUAGAGUGUUCAAAGCAGGCAUACGCUUGAAUACAUUAGCAUGGAAUAAUGGAAUAGGACUUUGGUUCUAUUUUGUUGGUUUCUAGGACCGAAGUAAUGAUUAAUAGGGACAGUUGGGGGCAUUAGUAUUUAAUUGUCAGAGGUGAAGUUCCUGGAUUUAUGAAAGACUAACUACUGCGAAAGCAUUUGCCAAGGAUGUUUUCAUUAA
rnacentral:rRNA from 1 species